rnacentral:rRNA from 1 species
GAUGAACGCUGGCGGCGUGCCUAAUACAUGCAAGUCGAGCGAACAGACGAGGAGCUUGCUCCUCUGACGUUAGCGGCUGACGGGUGAGUAACACGUGGAUAACCUACCUAUAAGACUGGGAUAACUUCGGGAAACCGGAGCUAAUACCGGAUAAUAUUUUGAACCGCAUGGUUCAAUAGUGAAAGACGGUUUUGCUGUCACUUAUAGAUGGAUCCGCGCCGCAUUAGCUAGUUGUUAAGGUAACGGCUUACCAAGGCAACGAUGCGUAGCCGACCUGAGAGGGUGAUCGGCCACACUGGAACGGAGACACGGUCCAGACUCCUACGGGAGGCAGCAGUAGGGAAUCUUCCGCAAUGGGCGAAAGCCUGACGGAGCAACGCCGCGUGAGUGAUGAAGGUCUUCGGAUCGUAAAACUCUGUUAUUAGGGAAGAACAAAUGUGUAAGUAACUAUGCACGUCUUGACGGUACCUAAUCAGAAAGCCACGGCUAACUACGUG